AUUACAUUGAACAGACUGUGCAAUUAUAAAAUUGCUAGACGCUGCAAGUUCAAUCUCCGCUUGUCUCUUAAGUUAUUGACAACCUGUGAACGAUUGAAUUUAAAUAAGGUUGGCUUCAAUCUUGGAGGAAUUUGCACCUUGGAUUCUGAACACUUUCUUUUGUAUUUAAUGGAAAAUGCUGGGUUGAUGUUGAUGUUCAUAACAAAUUUUAAUAAAGCAAGCUCUAAUCAACAGCUAAAUGUCCCUAAUCAAAUACAGAGGAGUGACCUAAAUGUGACAAAUCAAGAUACUUCGAUAUCCUGGUGAAAAUUUCCAUCCAUCUCUCGCUCUCUGCUAUACCAUGUCAUAAUUUUGAAUCCUUAAUCACUUUUUGGAUUUGAAAAGCAAAUGUAAUAUUCAUUAAGUUCAGAAUCGCAUCAAACAAAAUUAUUAAAGCUUCAAAACUGACUAUUUACUGUUACACCAAGUAUCAUUUUGAUCACGCUUAUCUUCAUUGGUCCCAAGGAAGCUUCAUAAGAAACUCGAGGACCUGGAAAAUAAUGGAAAAUAUUUCACAUGAUCAACAGAAGAACGAGAUGAAAGGACUGUAAACAUAUGAAUUGUUAACGACUUCUCAUGUCAUCUAAUGAUCAGAAUACAUGUAUAUCAAUUUAUCGAAGCAGCAAAACGCGCCAGGAAUCAGCUUAUAAAUUAUUAUAAAUUAUAAACCUAAUUUCAAUGAUUCCCAGUUUGUUGAUUAUUUCACUAGACUUGUUCAAUAAUCUAUUAAGCACACAGGAAUCAAUUUUUAGUUUUAAUACAUAAGUUCAAACUAAUGAGAUAUGAAAGUGGAUUUAAUUUAACGACUGUGCAUUUUAUGCACAAGAAAACAAUCAAACUCUAGCUAAAUUUGCGUGGUAAAGUUCAUAAACUCAUGAGCUCUCAUCCUAA